ensembl:snRNA U6 U6 spliceosomal RNA
AUGCCAACUUCGGCAGCACAUAUACGAAAACAUGAAUGAUUAGAGAGAAAACUGGCAUGCCCCAUAUUAAGGAUGACAUGCAAAUUCGUGAAGCAUUCUAUAUUUUU